CAUUUAAUCUUUCAUGUCAACCUCACCAAAACAAUAUGCUUCUAUUACCUGGAGUGGCCCUUUUGACAGCAUGGGUCUCCUCAUCCUCACAAUAGGGAGUGCACUUUGAGCUACUCAAAUUUUGGGAUUCUAAAAUUUUCUGCUUUGCCUGCAGCGGCCUAAUAAAGACAUCAAGUAAGUUUGCAAUCUAUGAUUUCAAUUAAGCAAAGCAAGAACUGCAAAAUGUGACCAAGAGAAGGAAUGGUUUUGAACAAAUAACUUUGACAACUCAACAUACAACCAAACUCGGCUAAGAUUGCUCUUUAGUUGACUAUUACUAGACAUCUACAAAAGAAUAUUAAUCCCAUUCAAACAAUUUAUCGAACAUCUACCCUGCAAAAGGAAAAAUCCGAAUCCAUGACCCACGAUAGUAUACCUGAUUCAGAAAUCUAAAUCUAGUUAUCUGCAAAAGGAAAUUGAAUUCUAUAAAUCUGAAUCCAUAAAAAAAAAAACAAAUAAAAUAUCCACAUAUAUUUGAAUUUGCACGAUUCAUCGUCCAUAUCUCACAAUUUAAUGAACAGAUUAUAGCAAAGAAGCUAAUUAAUGUCAGUGUUUAGAUUUACAGAGCAAGGAGACCUUAUUUUCAUUUAACUGGGAAAGGAAAUAUAGAAUAAGAAAAAGAAGGGGGGAAUGUCCUAAGAGUGCUAAGAGUAGUCCCAUCUAAGAAAGGAUUUACCAGGACAUCACUUUAAACAUAUAUAAUUCUGAAAGUUGAACGCCAUAGCUGCUCUGAAACCAAUUUAGGCCUUAGGGCAGCAUAUAUAGUAAUCACUAAUUGCUUGUUUUCUGCCAAAUUUCCCAUGUAGGACCAGCCAGCUUCAUUGCAAUGAUUAGGCGGAGCAGAAUUCUGAUUGUGGAAUACAUAUCUUUAUUGAAGGAUGAACAAAUGGCACCCACCUUUAAUUGAACAAGUAAAGAAUUAGAGUUUCAGUAAUAGAUUUCUCAUUGUUUAUCCCUGAUUCAAUAUCGUUGCUAGUUGUAUCACUUCAGAAUCUAGAAACGAAUCCGAAAUCGUGCUAUGUACAUCAGAACAGCUAUCAAAUUCCUGUUCCACUACGUUUCCACCAUAAUCAGGAAUAUUGUUCUUGACAAAUAGACAAGGCAGCAGUUCUUCAUACUCGUAUUCACCUUGAUGAUCGACGCUCUCCUCCGAAUCAGCUAUUUUCUGAAGCUCCAAUGCGGCCUCUACUGCCAUCUCUACUUCCCCCAUCUCAGGUCGUCCCUUACCAGUCUGGCAAACACAACAAUAGGCAAUCUCCACAAAUUUCUUGAAACAUUGAGGGGCUAUUUUCUUCUUCAAAUAAGGAUCAAUGAUGUCAUAGAUAGUCCCGUUUUCGAUACAUUUACAAGCCCAAGAAGUUAAAACCUUUUUUAAUCCCUUCCAAUGUUAGAUCAAUUGCCUUCCUUCCGCAUAACACCUCAAACAAAACAAUCCCAAAAGCGUAAACAUCAGUUUUUCUGGUUAUACGGCCAGUUAUAUAACACUCUAGAUCCAUAUGAACGACGGUACCUGGUAUUUUGAUGUUCAAAGAGCCAGUAGGAGAACCAGCUUGGCUCAUCUUUUACAGGCUAAGAUCGGAAAGCUUAGGAUUCCAUUCGUCAUCCAAUAGAAUGUUUCGGCUACUGAUGUUACGAUGGAUUAAUGAAUGCUUUGCUCCUGAAUGAAGGUAAUGCAACCCACGGGCUGCACCACUGCAUAUCGUUAGCCUCUGCUUCCGGGAGAGUGGAUCAUUAGGACGAUUACCAUAAAGAUGUUUAUUAAGUGAACCAUUGCUUAUAUAUUCAUAAACCAGAAGCUUUUCAUCUUCUUCGUCGCAGAAUCCGAUGAAAGAGACAAGAUUUGGGUGUCGUAGCUGACACAGAUCAUCAAUGAUUCCUUCGUAUAGAUCUCCAAAACCACCACGACCAAGGAGAAAGUCUUCACGGAAGCUGUUGAUAGCAGCUUUAAUCUCCUCAAGUGAGAAUUGUCGGCAUAGUCCCUCUGGGAAUGCUGAACAUUGCUUCCCUGGAGACCUUCCCUUUCCCCUGCUUUUAUACAACUUUGCAUUGUUAGGCGAUUUAUUAAUAAUGUGGAAGAAAAGUAGAAGGGAUUUUAAAGGGUUUUUCAUUGCAAGAAAUGAAGGAAGCAAGUUUGGAUUUGAUUGAAUAUUACAGUUUCUUCAGAUUAGCUUACAUUGUUCAUUUCAAAUGUGAAUUACAUUUUGGGAUUGAGCAUUACUUUCCAACUUUCUGGAAGUGCCAUUAUUGGGUCAAAGGAUUGAACUUCCUGGAUAAAAUUCUGCAGUGUGAAAAGAACUUAUUUUUCAGAAUGAAACGACAAUUUAAUUCAGAACGCGGAAAUGUGUUGACCUUUAUGUCUUCUGGUUUCAUUAAGCCUCAAAUGAUGACUUGAACCUUAGUUUGAGGCAGUGGCAAAAUGCGUAAGCAUAAACUUAAACAUAACAAGAACACAGAGUUUAUUUAUACUGUUACUCUUCAGAAAUUACAUUCUACAAACCCUUUUUUUAUUAUUAGCAAGUUACCAUCUCUUCUAUCAAUAAAAACUUUAUGAAGUUGAUUGAAACAUGUUUAUUUAAUACUUGCUUGUGAGCAAGGAGCUCUCAUUCAAGUAAACAUUUCCCCAUGGUGGGCUCAAUGUUUCAUUAAACAUUUUUUCCAGGAAAGAGGAAAAUCCUGUUACUUUGCAGGUAAUAACAGUGACAUUAUCCACUCCCAGGUGUUACCUGUGUAAUUUUCAUUCCAAGAACACAAUACAAACCGAGAAACUCUACAUUUUGGAGCCAAAAGUUCUUUCAGUUUGGAUUCUUCAAUUAAUGAACAAUUUAUCGUCAUAAACCAAUAGUUAGUUCAAUCAAUGAUUUUAGUAUAAACACAAUAUGAUCUAAACCUGAUCAAUAAAUAUAAGCUCGGAUAAAUAAAUCACUGUCCUCAUCCGGUCAUCCCUCUAUUGUUAAUCCAUCCAUGAUAAGUCAUGCAACAAUGAAAGAACGCUUGGGAAUUGAAUUAGCAGACUAUCUAAACAGAAAUUGCUAUCCUGACAAAGCAUUUAACUAUUAUUAUUGUGGUUAUUUGUUAGGGUUUUGACAGCAGCAAAAGAAGAGAACAAGACAUAGAACAAAGGAGCAAGAAGCUUGAUAUAAUUUACUUGCUCACAAAGGUGCAGCAAGGAAGCAAUCUGCUUUACACAACUGAUAUUCUUAUACAUUCAAUAUGAAAACAAUACAUUUAUAGUCAAAAUACAUCAUCAAAUAUUCAACUACCUCACUAUUGACUAUUAAAACAUUGCUUGUACACAUAAAUAAACUGACCUAUCAGCUCAACCAUCACCUAAACCGACCAAAACAUCAAGAACUAAGUUCAUUUUCAACAUUAUUGCUAUCUGAAUCUGAUAAGUCAGUAUAAAAUUUAGAAUAAUUAUGGCUACCAAGACCCACAAAAUUCCUAACAAAGGCAGAAAACAAUGCUUCUUCAUACAUACACUCACCAGAAGGAUAGAUGCUCUCCAUUUCGGAAUCUGCUCUCUCUUGCAGCUCCAAGGCUAGUUCUAGUGUGACCUCCACCUCACCCAUUGCUGGCCUUUCAUUUCCAUUACAGUGGACACAACUAGAAGCGAUUUCCAAAUACUUGUUCAAACAUUCCGGAGCUAUCCUUCCCUUGAGGUACGGAUCAAUGGCAUGAUGAAUGGUUCCUUCCCUUAGGGAUUCCUUGGCCCAAGUAAGCAAACUUCCUUGAUUGUCUGGUAGUGUCCGAUCCGAGUUUCUUCUGCCAUAAAGAACUUCGAACAAAACGACCCCAAAUGAGUAUACGUCGGAUUUUUCGGUCAGUUCCCCAUGCAUGGUAUAUUCUGGAGCCAUAUAUCCAUAAGUUCCCACAAGCCUACAUGUAUACUUUCUUAUCAAGGCUUUUGACAUGCUAGGAGGACCCAGUUUGGACAAGCCAAAAUCUGAAAGUUUGCAACACCAUUCUUCAUCUAAAAGUAUGUUUGAGCUCUUGAUGUCAUGGUGGAUUACAGCAUGCUUGGCACCGGUGUGCAGGUAAUGUAAUCCACGUGCUGCACCGAUACAUAUGUGUAACCUAUGUUUCCAAGACAGUGGAACGUAAUCCUUCCCAAUCCCAAAGAGAAAAUCAGCGAGUGACCCUCUGCUCAUGUAUUCUAACACAACGAACAGUUCAUUUUCCACAAGGCAGAAGCCGAUGAGGGAGACGAGAUGUGGGUGGCGCAACUGGCAAAGCAAUCGUACCUCAUUUUGUAACUCUCUCACUGCUCCUAAACUGCUUCGGCAGCGCCUGACAGCAACAACGGUUCCAUCAUCGAUAGUUCCUUUAUAAAGACUCCCGUAACGACCUAUACCAAUAAUGGAGUCUGGGUGGAAGUUGUUGGUAGCGGCUUCGAUCUCGGCUAGUGAAAAUUGACGGCAUAUAUCCUCCGGAAGUUCUGAACCUUGUAAGAGGGGUUUUUUCUUCGAAACGAAGAAGGUUAGAAGAGACCACAAAGGAUACUUCAUAGGGGAUUUUUUUUUUUUUGUUUUUCACAUUUAAGCAGUUGAAUAAAGAAACACUAGCAGUACUUUACGAGAAAGAGAAAAAGAAAAAGCCCUACACCGGAUGGAUGUUGCUUGAGCCUUGAAGUAGAUCGAUAGAGAUGCCACAAGCUUUUCCUAAUUUUUUACCCACUAACCCAUAAUUGGCUUGUUAGAAUAUACUAAUACUAGCAUAUUAGGCGUCGCAAUCAUGUACAAGUAUUUUUCAAUUUCCUGGAUGCUUCGUUGGAAGAGGUCAGAAACUAUCCAAAGUUUUAGUUUUAUUUAUUUAAUAUUAUGCUUGAAAGUCUUCCCGAAAAAAAUAUGGUUGAAAGAGAUACAAGGAAAACCAUAGAUCCAAGAGAACAGACCAGCAUCAUCAGGUUGGGUGUGGUAGUCUAAAGUAAAUAAUAAGAAAAAAAUGAAGGCACUUUAUCGGAGCUAGUGGAAGACUGGAAAGGUCGGUUUCAAGGAUGAGGGCAAAAAUUUAUUCAUGAUCAUAUUCAAAGUUACAGAUGAUUCGGAUACUGGUAAAUGGGAUUGGAUGCAGCGCCGACCAGUAGGGAGGGUCUCAACGUCGUGAUGGUCUCAGACUUGGCCUCCAAAUGAGGAAAUAUACAAUCGGCGGUAAGUCAUGAAGAUGAGUUGGCUGGGCAUUUACAAUUUUUCAAAUAAAAGCGUGUGGGGCCGAGUGAUGAACAGGAUAUGUUGCUGAAUAAGGUCAACGCGCCUGUUGGAAACUUUGUUACCUAAAGCUUAAUGUAAAAUUUAUCCCUUAUUAUUUAUAUUUUUUUGUCACAUUAGUUUUUUUUAAAUUAAAUUUAGCAUUCAAUCUUAAAAAAAAUAUCAAAUUUAAUCAUUGAUCAAUUGAAAAAUAGUUUAAUUGAUUUUUUUAAUGAAAAUAUAAACUAAAAUACUUUUAAACAUGGCAACUCACGUAACAAUUCACAUGGCAACUACCGUAACAAUUCACAUGGUAACUCACAUAACAAUUUAAUUUUUUUUUUAAAAUUACCUUUUUUAUAAUUUUUAUAAUUUAUUUUUGAAAUCUUUUUAUAAUUUUUAAAUCAUUUAUUAGCAUGGCAUACAAAACAAAUAAUAUAAUGUUAAUAUAAAGUGCAUAUAAACUGUCGUAUGAGAUGUCACACUAACAUCAUUAAAAUUUUAAUAUUUUAGUAAGCAUUUCUAUUAAAAAACAGUUUAACUCUUUUAAAAAAUUAAUAAUCAAAUUUAAUUUAAAAAAAAUAAUAGUAAAUUUAAAAAAAAUGUAAAUAUUAAUAACUAAAUUUAUCAUGUGAAUCCUAAACCCUUUCUUUUCUUUGUCAAAUAAUUGAGAGUCCAAAUUUUUUUUUUUUUAAUUUGGAUAAUGUUAUAAACAAUUGAUCACCAUACAUCUCCCUCUCUGACCUUUUUUCUUGACCCUUAGUCUCUCAUCAUCAUCACUAAUUUGACACAAUCCUUAGCCAUUCAACACUCUCUAGCAUCACUAUUUGCAACACAAUAUCACCUUCGUCAUCAACAGUAUCAUCUUCAUUAUUACUGCCUCCACCUCUCUUACCAUUGAACCUAGAAGCACCAACUACUUCAACCACCACACUAAAAAACCGAAACCCAAACCAUAAACAAUCAUUCAUACCAAAAAUUCAACAUAAGAAAAAUUCAACCAAUAAAUAAAACCAACAAAAUAAUAAAAAGAAUUGAUCCUAUUGUUUCGAAGAAUCUAAACCAAACCUACAAGCAGAGAAGAGAAAACAUUAAAAAAAAGAAGGGAAAUAAAUUGAAAAAAAAAAGGAGACUUAUCUCUGUACGAGUUUAGGUUUGGAGCACCAAGAUUCCAUUCAACAACUUGAACAACGAUGAGGUGUAUUCAGCCAAGGAGAGCCACAUAUCUCAUACGCAAGGCGAUUGAACGACGAAAAUGGUAGAUCAAGAUAAGAGAAUUUCAAAGGUGACUUGGUAUUUUCAAGGUUUUUAGGUGGGUUUCGAGAAUAUUUGAACCGUUAGUUUGAAAGAGAAAGGAAAGGAAAGGUGGACUGCUUAGUGGCGUUGCCGGAGCACGACUGUUAAGGAAGAGUAGCGCAAGGAAAAAGAUGAGGUAAAGGAUAGGAUAGAAGGAAAAAAAGAACAAGGGAAAAAAGAAUAAAGAAAGGGGAAAAUGAAUAGACAAUUAACUUAACCGUGGAAGAGAUAGAUUUAAUGGUAGAGUGAUAGUUUGGUCAAUUUUUUUAACGGUAGUAAUCAAAUUAACAAUAAAAAAUUAGGAUGAGCUAAAUAGGAUUAACCUCUAUUUAGAAUGAUUACAAGAUACUUUACCCAAAAUUUUAUAGAUUCUUCCCGUGUUGUAAUCAAAAAGUUUUCUUAAAUGUGAAGUAGGAUCCUAAAAUCAGUAUACUAUUUAUUUCUCUAAACUUUAUUAGAACCAAUCUCUAGGGUGGAGAUAUUUUUAAGGAUGCUUUUAAUAGAGUUUUAAGGUAUGUUUGGUUGAGUGAAAAAGAAGAAAGAUGAAAGGGAAAUGGAAAUGAAAAAAUGAAUAUAUAUAUUUAGUACACUAUCUGAUAAAGAAGAGUGAAAGAAAAAAAAGAUCAUUUUAAAUUAGAAAGAUAAAAAUAGAAAAAAUGAGUGAUAAUGUAUAUUAAUUCAAAAUUAUGUAAUUUUCAAAAAUAUUAUUUUCUUUCUUUUCAUUUUUUUUUAACUCUACCCAGCAAUAAAUGAAAAAAAAAUUUACUUUUAUCUUUUUCCUCUCAAGCACAAGUACAGAAAAAAAAAUUUAUAUUUUCUAUUCUUCUAUUUUUCUAUUCUUUCAAUUUUCUUUCCAUUCUACCAAUUAGAAUCUGAGUAUUUUUUUUUAUUUUGUCAAAGUUGUUUCCUAAUGCAGGUUACGAUUUUAACUUUCAAUUUUUAGGUUAAACAUUUUCCCAACUCUCUCACCCUAACACCCAAAGUUUCCCUUUAAACUAUUUAAAUUUUUGUCAAAAUUGAAUAAAUAUUUUAAAAUAUUAAAAUAGAUUUACUUAGACUAUUAUACCUAUGUUUAUUUUGGGUUCUAACUAUUAAAAAUAGAUUCACCCUUAGUUUCCCUUAAACUUCAGCAUAUGGCUCAUUGGUCAAAGGUGUUCAAUCUAUAAUUUCUAACUAUGUCAUAAAAUUCGGAUUUGGACUAAAUUAAUUAAGUGAGAUUAGUAUAUAAUUUAAAAUAGAAUAAUCACAAGUCAAGUAGGGAUUGAGAAGGUCGAAUAAUUAAGUGUUAUUGAAUUAAACUGGUUAAUAAAAAUAGUACAUGGGCUAAAUUGCUUAGUGAACAAAGUAUGAAGGGAUUAAAUUUUAAUUUGGUCAAUGCUUUAAACGGAAAUUAAACUAAGGUUAAAAUAAUAGUUAAACCAUUCUAAAUGGUAUGUUAAAGCUUAACUAAUGUUCGUGUCAUCACUUUCCACUAACUAACCUUAUACUUAAUAAACUAUUAGAUUAAGUGAAUAAUUAAAUUAAUUGUUAUGCUAAUUGUCAG
rnacentral:lncRNA from 1 species